UACAGAGGGUGCGAGCGUUGUUCGGAAUUAUUGGGCGUAAAGGGCGCGUAGGCGGCAUGGCAAGUGGAUGGUGAAAUCCCUCGGCUUAACCGAGGAACUGCCGUCCAAAACUGCUUUCGCUUGAGACCGGGGAGAGGUGAGUGGAAUUCCCCAGUGUAGCGGUGAAAAUGCGUAGAUAUUUGGGGAGGAACACCAGUGACGAAGGCGGCUCACUGGACCGGUAUGACGCUGAUUGCGCGAAAAGCGUGGGGGGAGCAAAACGGGGGAUUAGAUACCCCC
rnacentral:rRNA from 1 species